GCAGUGGUGGGUCAGUGGUAGAAUCCUUGCCUUCCAUGUGGGAGCCCGGGUUCGAUUUCCGGCCAGUGCG
rnacentral:tRNA from 1 species